UACGUAGGGUGCAAGCGUUGUCCGGAAUUAUUGGGCGUAAAGAGCUCGUAGGCGGUUUGUCGCGUCUGCUGUGAAAUCUGGGGGCUCAACCCCCAGCCUGCAGUGGGUACGGGCAGACUAGAGUGCGGUAGGGGAGAUUGGAAUUCCUGGUGUAGCGGUGGAAUGCGCAGAUAGUCAGGAGGAACACCGAUGGCGAAGGCAGAUCUCUGGGCCGUAACUGACGCUGAGGAGCGAAAGCAUGGGGAGCGAACAGG
rnacentral:rRNA from 1 species